rnacentral:pre_miRNA from 7 species
CAGACUGAGAGAACUUUGGCCACCUGGCUCUGAGAACUGAAUUCCAUAGGCUGUGAGCUCUAGCAGACGCCCUAGGGACUCAGUUCUGGUGCCCGGCUGUGCUAUACCAUCAACACCAAG